UACGAAGGGGGCUAGCGUUGCUCGGAAUCACUGGGCGUAAAGGGUGCGUAGGCGGGUCUUUAAGUCAGGGGUGAAAUUCUGGAGCUCAACUCCAGAACUGCCUUUGAUACUGAGGAUCUUGAGUUCGGGAGAGGUGAGUGGAACUGCGAGUGUAGAGGUGAAAUUCGUAGAUAUUCGCAAGAACACCGAUGGCGAAGGCAGCCAUCUGGACCGACACUGACGCUGAGGCGCGAAAGCGUGGGGAGCAAACAGG
rnacentral:rRNA from 1 species